rnacentral:rRNA from 1 species
AGAGCGAACGCUGGCGGCAUGCUUAACACAUGCAAGUCGCACGCCGGUUUCGGCCGGAGUGGCGGACGGGUGAGUAACGCGUAGGUAUCUAUCCUUGGGUGGGGGACAACCGUGGGAAACCGCGGCUAAUACCGCAUGACACCUGUGGGUCAAAGGCGCAAGUCGCCUGGGGAGGAGCCUGCGUACGAUUAGCUAGUUGGUGGGGUAAAGGCCUACCAAGGCUACGAUCGUUAGCUGGUCUGAGAGGAUGAUCAGCCACAUUGGGACUGAGACACGGCCCAAACUCCUACGGGAGGCAGCAGUGGGGAAUAUUGGACAAUGGGCGCAAGCCUGAUCCAGCAAUGCCGCGUGGGUGAAGAAGGUUUUCGGAUUGUAAAGCCCUUUCGGCGGGGACGAUGAUGACGGUACCCGCAGAAGAAGCCCGGCUAACUUCGCGCCAGCAGCCGC